CAGUCGCCGCGGGAAUCCGAAGGGGGCUAGCGUUGCUCGGAAUUACUGGGCGUAAAGGGCGCGUAGGCGGACAGUUCAGUCGGGGGUGAAAGCCCGGGGCUCAACCUCGGAAUUGCCUUCGAUACUGGCUGUCUUGAGUAUGAGAGAGGUGUGUGGAACUCCGAGUGUAGAGGUGAAAUUCGUAGAUAUUCGGAAGAACACCAGUGGCGAAGGCGACACACUGGCUCAUUACUGACGCUGAGGCGCGAAAGCGUGGGGAGCGAACAGGAUUAGAUACCCCUGUAGUCCCUGUCUCUUAUAC
rnacentral:rRNA from 1 species